GAUGAACGCUAGCUACAGGCUUAACACAUGCAAGUCGAGGGACCGGCGCACGGGUGCGUAACACUUAUCCAACCUUCCCUUUACUCUGGGAUAGCCUUUCGAAAUGAAGAUUAAUACUCGUUAUAAUGGAUUGUGAUGCGUUCCUUUAGGUUGUUGGUGAGGUAACGGCAAACCAAUCCUUCGAUGGAUAGGGGUUCUGAGAGGAAGCUCCACCACAUUGGAACUGAGGCACGGUCCAAACUCCGACGGGAGGCAGCAGUGAGGAAUAUUAGUCAAUGGGCGCUAGCCUGAACCAGCCAAGUAGCGUGAAGGAUGAAGGCUUAUGGGUCGUAAACUUCUUUUAUAGAAGAAUAGGUAUUAAAUGAAUAAGGAUCGGCUAACUCCGUGCCAGCAGCCGCGGUAAUUC
rnacentral:rRNA from 1 species